AACUGAGGGGCUUGUCCACCCGUAACAGCUGGUAAUUCACCAGCCCAAAAGGUGUAGGGUUCCUUAAGCCAGGGUCUCACUGGGAUCUUGUGUCUUCACAUCGCCUCUAAGUAGUAACUCUGGUAACUGCUGUUUGUUCAGAAAGUUGGAAAUAUAAAACGAAGGAGUCAGCGGGGCUGCAUUCCUUCUGGAGACCUGAGGAGAAUCCUUUUGAUGAAUGCUAGCUAUAUGCAAAAUCUUGGAUUUGCGUAUGACUUCAAGAACAUCUACCAGCACUGUAUGAGAGAGAAAAAGCCAGCCUCCUCAAAUAACUUGGCUUAAACAAGCUAUUUAUUGUACUCAGCAUCUUUCAGCACUAGGAGAGCUAACCAGUAUAGAAGAAGUCUCUGGGAAAUUUGAUUUUUCCAUAUUCUAUAACUCAAGUAUGUGCUGUCUUCAGAGAUAAGGUCUCACUGGUAAGUUCUGAAGAGUUACUGAGAGAAGUGACAAUGGCUCAUAAUAUUUAGAGGUUUGGGAGGCCUCACUGCUCAGAAGCUCCAAAAGAAGUAACCCAUCCUGGACUGGGGGUUUUAUUUGUAAGGGUUUCCUGUAUUUUAGUGACUAAAAUCUAAGUUGCAUGGCAAAAGCUGAUGUCAUGGGCAGGAAUGACACUUGUUUCACAUGGAAAAGCACUAAAUAUAUUCAACAAUAAUAUAACCUGUCACUCUCUUAUUAUAACACUACCUUUUACAUUAUUCUCUUUGCUAUGUAAAAUAUUCUCUACUCAUAAAACUAAAAAAUGGGAGGGAACAAAUAUCUAAUAAACAUUUGAAGAGUGACAAAUG
rnacentral:lncRNA from 1 species